AUACGGAGGGGGCAAGCGUUGUUCGGAAUAACUGGGCGUAAAGCGCACGUAGGCGGAAUGUUAAGUUAGAGGUGAAAUCCCAGGGCUCAACCCUGGAACUGCCUUUAAUACUGGCAAUCUAGAGACCGAGAGAGGUGAGUGGAAUUCCGAGUGUAGAGGUGAAAUUCGUAGAUAUUCGGAGGAACACCAGUGGCGAAGGCGGCUCACUGGCUCGGUACUGACGCUGAGGUGCGAAAGCGUGGGGAGCAAACAGGAUUAGAAACCCUAGUAGUCC
rnacentral:rRNA from 1 species